GGUUAUUCUAGUUCAAGCUGUGAUUAUACCAAUUCUUGGAGGCCAGACCCUGCACAAGCAGGGUUGUACGGAUCUUCUCAGGUGAAUGGACCUUCUGGUGGUCCAGCCAAUUAUGGAGCUAAUUAUGGCAGCGGUCAGGGUAGGCAAGCCCAGCAGCAAUAAAUGCAAGAGUUAUAUUUGGAAGGUCAUUUUUGGGCGCUUCUUGAGCUGUUGUGUUUGGUGUUUGGCGAAGAUAUAAAUUUAUCUUGGGUUGGAUUGCUUGAUCUCAGUUGUUUUAUUGCUAUUAUCACUUGAUCUUAUCUCGGUAGUUUAACUAUUAUUCCCUUGUUCCCAUAGACUCAGUAGUAUAAAUUAGUGGUUAUCAGUAGUAGAUGCCUCCUAUUAGUGUUUCUAAAGCUUCUUGUCAAGUUCCGUGUGGAUACCUGGGUUUUCUGCAGCUAUACUUCAAGAAACUUAUUUUGCCAUCUCUAGUUACAAGCUAGAGUUGUUUAUCAUCUAUUUGUGUUUAAUGUAGGCAACUGCAGUAUGUGUUGUAUGACUAAGUUUUCUGUUAAGCAAAUUAGUAUUAUUGCAAGAUUAAUAUUUUGGUUGUUGUUGUCUAUUUCGUGCAAGUUUGCUUCUGUGUAUUAGGUGUAAAUAUUGGAUAUCUAUCUUGCUUACAGUAAGAUAUCUGAAAAUAUACCAAUAUUAAUUUAUUGAAGUAGCAUCAGUAGUAAUGCUGUAAGAUUAAGGGACUAUAGAGUACUGGAGGCCACUUAAGAUCAAGUAAACUAUUGUUAAGGAGUAGGUCAAUGUAGCAGUAGGGUAGAUAUUUGUCAAAAAUGGCAUAAUUGUUCUCCCUUUUAUGCCCUUUGUACAGGCAUCGCAACUUAUUCGCUUGUUAGCAACUGCACAGAAGCCUUUUAUAGGGUGCAGGAGAUUGUACAGGGUGCAAGAGAAACGCUUUGUUGCUUGAAGCCAGAACAUUUGUCGCUGAUGCGUUGGGCUUUCACCUUCUCAAAGACCUUGUGUGUGUUUGCAUUACUUGGUUAUAUCGACGCCAUUGUGCUUGCUAUGAUUGCUGAGAAUUAAUAGCGGUGGGAGGUGCAACACAUGUCGAUAUAGCUUGUGACCGAGAAUUGGUAAAGCUUGCUCUGGAUUUGAUGUCUCUACCAGUAAUUCUUGCGCAUUUGUGUUUCCUCUGUGGACCCUUUGGCAUUUCCUUCUGUAGUGGAAGCAGAUGCCCAAAUGGUUAGGAUGUAUACAAUAUCUAUUACCUUUUGAGGUUAUAAGAAGAAUAUUUAUGUAAUUUAUGGAUACGUACUUGAUGUAUAUAAUAUCUAUUAUCUUUUUAUAUUGUAAGAAUAAUAUUUAUG